rnacentral:rRNA from 1 species
UGGCGGACGGGUGAGUAACGCGUAAAGAACUUGCCCUUUAGACUGGGAUAACAGAGGGAAACUUCUGAUAAUACUGGAUAAGUUAGUAUAUCGCAUGAUAUACAAAUGAAAGCUACGGCACUAAAGGAGAGCUUUGCGUCCUAUUAGCUAGUUGGUAAGGUAAGAGCUUACCAAGGCGAUGAUAGGUAGCCGGACUGAGAGGGUGGACGGCCACAAGGGGACUGAGAUACGGCCCUUACUCCUACGGGAGGCAGCAGAU